rnacentral:rRNA from 1 species
AUUGAACGCUGGCGGCAGGCUUAACACAUGCAAGUCGAGCGGGGUGAUGGUGCUUGCACUAUCACUUAGCGGCGGACGGGUGAGUAAUGCUUAGGAAUCUGCCUAUUAGUGGGGGACAACAUCUCGAAAGGGAUGCUAAUACCGCAUACGUCCUACGGGAGAAAGCAGGGGAUCACUUGUGACCUUGCGCUAAUAGAUGAGCCUAAGUCGGAUUAGCUAGUUGGUGGGGUAAAGGCCUACCAAGGCGACGAUCUGUAGCGGGUCUGAGAGGAUGAUCAGCUACACUGGGACUGAGACACGGCCCAGACUCCUACGGGAGGCAGCAGUGGGGAAGAUUGGACAAUGGGGGGAACCCUGAUCCAGCCAUGCCGCGUGUGUGAAGAAGGCCUUAUGGUUGUAAAGCACUUUAAGCGAGGAGGAGGCUCUUUUGGUUAAUACCCAAGAUGAGUGGACGUUACUCGCAGAAUAAGCACCGGCUAACUCUGUGCCAGCCGCCGCUGUAA